UCCCUAGUAGGAUUUGUGAAGUACUCUUCCGUAGUCUUUAAAAGACUUCUUUAAUAGUGCAACUUGUUAGUCCACAACUCGUUCUUACAUAAAUAUACAUACAUACAUACAUACAUACAUACAUAAAUUCCUUGCUGUACCCAAAUCUGCAAAAUAAUUUGGGGAGGUCCCCUCUCAGGCUGGGAAAUAGUUUUCCACAAUGCGGUGCUCUUAUAAACUUCAAUUUCAGUCCAAGUCAAGUGAAUUGAAUAUUCCUGACCAAAAUUCUUGCUGGUUCCAGAAUCUUGUUUCCAUUGAUCAUCAUAGUAGCUUACUUCUCUCUCUUUGGACAGAGACUACAUGGUGCCUUGUUGCAAUGUUAUUUGUCUUCAUUUAUUUAAUUUUUCUGGUAUUAGCUGCGGUGAUGACAGCUAAGGCUCGUUGUCUGGAAGAGGUUCUGAUAUCAUAUGAAAAUGAAACUGCACAUUGUAAAGUCAUAUAGCAAAGCAGAGGUAUGUAUGUAUCGGAUUGCAAUGGGAAUCUUGGCAUCACAUAGAGCUGUUUAAAUCUAGAUGUACGUGCACAAUUAAUAAACAUCAGAUCAAAGUUAGAUCGCUAUGGCGUACUUAUCAGAAAAAAAAAAUCUCCGCUAACUCUUGAAAUUAAGGAAGAUAGUUGAAAACAAUAAUGCAAAAAUUACAAUCCAUUCAGCGAGCAUGCGUGAUAAUGUUAUCUUCGUGCGUGUAUUUUUUGCUUGUCAAGGUAACUGGUCUUUCUCUGAAGACAACUGGUAUUUUACUUCUGCUGAAAAUACCAUCUUGGCAGCAGGGAAAUUGUUCUGGAACAUUGAGCGCCAAUCUUAUCGAGACAAAUAGCAAGGGAGAGGCGGAAAUGUAUGGCAUGAUAUUCAUUCCCAUGUUUUCUUAAGCAGAAGAUAACUAUAAAUAGACUUUUUAAUAUCUUUUGUUCUUUCAAGCAUGCCAGACUCAACAUAUUAUAAGCGGAGAUCUCAAUCAAACUGAAAACAUUAAAAAAUGGACUGAAGAUGGUUCUGUGAUUUUAAAACUUUAAAUAUAUUUGCAUAUCAAACUAUGUACUGAUGUACAAAAAUUAUUUAGUAAAUAAAGGGGUGGAGGGGAUCACAUAAGACAUACAAACUAAAGGGAGUCUGCUCAGAAAUAGCUCAUAUUUAUUGAUUGCUCCUACUAUUCCUGGUAAUAGUUGAGUGAUUACAUGUAUUAAAGCAUAUACUGCCCCAAUAAUCCUAGGAGACAGUGCUAUCAUUGAUGUUGUCAUAUUAAUGAGGCCCAGAGAGGAUGAGAAAAAUUUCCAAGAUUAUGUCGCAAGUACGAAUUAGAAGCAAGAUGUAAGCCAUGAAAGUUUUACUCUGGAGAUCAUGAGCAUUAUCAUUAGGCGAUGCUAACCCCGGAACGGUAAAUCAUAUUGAAGCAAGUUGGAAGACUAUCACUUUUGUUGGCAACAGGCAGAGUCGCUCAAACAAGCAGAUUUACAUUUUUCUCCCCUGUAUGUUAUCUUUCAGAAAGGAACAAAUAAGAAAAAGAACUUUCAAGAAUAAAAUAUCAUAACAGCUGCUCAUGAGGAGUGACAUCUUCAGGCUAAUUAUUCUUUGGAAUUUUGAAGACAAAAGGGCUCGUAGAAGAGAUUCUCCCUCUAGUAGACUCUAGCGAACCUAAAGAAUACAGGUCUCCUUCAUUUUUUAUUCUCCUCUAAUAUGCUGUUGUUGCCUUUACAUCGUGUCUCCUUUUGCCCUGGCUUCAAGUUGUUACUGCCUUUAAUAAAGACUUCAAUCGA